CGGCGGACGGGUGAGUAACGCGUGGGUAACCUACCCUGUACACACGGAUAACAUACCGAAAGGUAUGCUAAUACGGGAUAAUAUAUUUGAGAGGCAUCUCUUGAAUAUCAAAGGUGAGCCAGUACAGGAUGGACCCGCGUCUGCUUAGCUAGUUGGUAAGGUAACGGCUUACCAAGGCGACGAUCAGUAGCCGACCUGAGAGGGUGAUCGGCCACAUUGGAACUGAGACACGGUCCAA
rnacentral:rRNA from 1 species